rnacentral:rRNA from 1 species
AGAGUUUGAUUCUGGCUCAGGGUGAACGCUGGCGGCGUGCUUGACACAUGCAAGUCGAACGGUAUGUGGCAACACAUAGAGUGGCGAACGGGUGAGUAACACGUGGGAACGUACCUUCUGCAGGGGGAUAACUGACCGAAAGGACAGCUAAUACCGCAUAAGACCGAGAGGAGAAAGGUGCAACAGCAUCGGCAGAGGAGCGGCCCGCGGACCAUCAGCUAGUUGGUGGGGUAAGAGCCUACCAAGGCAACGACGGAUAGCCGGCGUGAGAGCGUGGCCGGCCACAAGGACACUGAGAUACGGGUCCUACUCCUACGGGAGGCAGCAGUGCGGAAUUUUAGAUAAUGGAGGCAACUCUGAUCUAGCGACGCCGCGUGCAGGAAGAAGGUCUUCGGAUUGUAAACUGCUGUGGUAAGGGAAAAAUGCCAUGUAGAGUGGAAAGCUACAUGGAGGGAUGGUACUUUACUAGAAAGCCCCGGCUAACUACGUGCCAGCAGCCGCGGUAAUACGUAGGGGGCGAGCGUUACCCGGAAUCACUGGGCGUAAAGGGAGCGUAGGUGGCCUGACAUGUCGACUGUGAAAACCCGGAGCUCAACUCCGGACUUGCAGUUGAAACUGCCAGGCUUGAGGACGGUAGAGGAAGACGGAACUGCCAGUGUAGGGGUAAAAUCCUUAGAUAUUGGCAGGAACGCCGGUGACGAAGGUGGUUUUCUGGGCCGGUUCUGACACUGAUGCUCGAAAGCCAGGGGAGCGAACGGGAUUAGAUACCCUGGUAGUC